CAUGCAAGUCGAACGAGCGAGAGAGAGCUUGCUUUCUCGAGCGAGUGGCGAACGGGUGAGUAACGCGUGAGGAACCUGCCUCAAAGAGGGGGACAACAGUUGGAAACGACUGCUAAUACCGCAUAAGCCCACGGCUCGGCAUCGAGCAGAGGGAAAAGGAGCAAUCCGCUUUGAGAUGGCCUCGCGUCCGAUUAGCUAGUUGGUGAGGUAACGGCCCACCAAGGCGACGAUCGGUAGCCGGACUGAGAGGUUGAACGGCCACAUUGGAACUGAGACACGGCCCAGACUCCUACGGGAGGCAGCAGUGGGGAAUAUUGCACAAUGGGGGAAACCCUGAUGCAGCGACGCCGCGUGGAGGAAGAAGGUCUUCGGAUUGUAAACUCCUGUUGUUGGGGAAGAUAAUGACGGUACCCAACAAGGAAGUGACGGCUAACUACGUGCCAGCAGCCGCGGUAAAACGUAGGUCACAAGCGUUGUCCGGAAUUACUGGGUGUAAAGGGAGCGCAGGCGGGAAGACAAGUUGGAAGUGAAAUCUAUGGGCUCAACCCAUAAACUGCUUUCAAAACUGUUUUUCUUGAGUAGUGCAGAGGUAGGCGGAAUUCCCGGUGUAGCGGUGGAAUGCGUAGAUAUCGGGAGGAACACCAGUGGCGAAGGCGGCCUACUGGGCACCAACUGACGCUGAGGCUCGAAAGUGUGGGUAGCAAACAGGAUUAGAUACCCUGGUAGUCCACACCGUAAACGAUGAUUACUAGGUGUUGGAGGAUUGACCCCUUCAGUGCCGCAGUUAACACAAUAAGUAAUCCACCUGGGGAGUACGACCGCA
rnacentral:rRNA from 1 species